rnacentral:rRNA from 1 species
AUUGAACGCUGGCGGCAGGCCUAACACAUGCAAGUCGAGCGGAUGAAGGGAGCUUGCUCCUGGAUUCAGCGGCGGACGGGUGAGUAAUGCCUAGGAAUCUGCCUGGUAGUGGGGGAUAACGUCCGGAAACGGGCGCUAAUACCGCAUACGUCCUGAGGGAGAAAGUGGGGGAUCUUCGGACCUCACGCUAUCAGAUGAGCCUAGGUCGGAUUAGCUAGUUGGUGGGGUAAAGGCCUACCAAGGCGACGAUCCGUAACUGGUCUGAGAGGAUGAUCAGUCACACUGGAACGUAGACACGGUCCAGACUCCUACGGGAGGCAGCAGUGGGGAAUAUUGGACAAUGGGCGAAAGCCUGAUCCAGCCAUGCCGCGUGUGUGAAGAAGGUCUUCGGAUUGUAAAGCACUUUAAGUUGGGAGGAAGGGCAGUAAGUUAAUACCUUGCUGUUUUGACGUUACCAACAGAAUAAGCACCGGCUAACUUCGUG